UAGGGAAUCUUCGGCAAUGGACGAAAGUCUGACCGAGCAACGCCGCGUGAGUGAAGAAGGUUUUCGGAUCGUAAAACUCUGUUGUUAGAGAAGAACAAGGACGUUAGUAACUGAACGUCCCCUGUCGGUAUCUAACCAGAAAGCCACGGCUAACUACGUGCCAGCAGCCGCGGUAAUACGUAGGUGGCAAGCGUUGUCCGGAUUUAUUGGGCGUAAAGCGAGCGCAGGCGGUUUCUUAAGUCUGAUGUGAAAGCCCCCGGCUCAACCGGGGAGGGUCAUUGGAAACUGGGAGACUUGAGUGCAGAAGAGGAGAGUGGAAUUCCAUGUGUAGCGGUGAAAUGCGUAGAUAUAUGGAGGAACACCAGUGGCGAAGGCGGCUCUCUGGUCUGUAACUGACGAUGAGGCUCGAAAGCGUGGGGAGCAAACAGG
rnacentral:rRNA from 1 species